CAAGAGCUUCCAAGGAUGGUUGGUGGCCUCCAAGACCUUCCAAGGAUGGUUGUGAGCCUCCAAGGUAGCCCAGAGGGCCCUCAAGUUGCCCAGUACUGAGGAAGGGAUCCAGUUCUACAUGUUUGGGAACUUGGUAGCCCCAGGACAUGACGACUUCAUCUCAGAGGAGAUGGAAUAUGGUUAAGGGUGAAGAGGAGCUGAUGGUUGAUGGUCCCUCAAGAUCUUGGUGGCUCCAGAACUUUGUUACCUGGACUCAGAGAAGAUACAACAUGGAUGAAGGUGACCUGAUGUCUGCCAUGAGCCUGGUAGCCCCAAAACACGUCUCCUUUGUCCCAGAGGAGAUGGGAUGGAUGAGGGUGAAGAGCUGAUGGUUGAUGUCCCUCAAGAUGGAUGAAGGUGGCAAUGAACUGAUGGUUGAUGUCUUCUACAAGCCCGGUGGCUCCAGGACUUGAUUCUUUGAUCCCAAAGGAGACUCAAUGUGGAUGAGGGUGAAGGUGAUCCCAAAGGAGACUCAAUGUGGAUGAAGGUGAAGGUGAUCCCAAAGGAGACUCAAUGUGGAUGAAGAUGAGCUGAUGGUUGAUGUCCUUCAUGAUUUUGGUAGCUCCAAAACCUGGUUUUCUGGCCCCAGAGGAGACACAACACAGUUGAACAUCCAUUGGAUGAUGUUCUUUGGUCUGAUGGAUGAUGUCUACCACCAGUUCUGUGGUUCACCCUCACCUCCACCAGGACACCCCAUUUCCAGACAAACCCCACUGAUUUUUUGCAGCCUCCUCCCCAGGCCUUAAUGCUCCAGCACUGACCUACCUCAUGGACCACUUGACAUACCCAGGGCCCCACACCUCCUCCCUAUGGGUUUCUCCCCCUCCCUGCUGCUGUAACAAAGGUUUUACCACAUUCUCUGCA